rnacentral:rRNA from 1 species
UCGGAUGGAAGAGAGUCAGCUUAGUGGCGAACGGGUGAGUAACACGUGAGCAACCUGCCUUUCAGUGGGGGACAACAUUUGGAAACGAAUGCUAAUACCGCAUAAGACCACAGUGUCGCAUGGCACAGGGGUCAAAGGAUUUAUCCGCUGAAAGAUGGGCUCGCGUCCGAUUAGCUAGAUGGUGAGGUAACGGCCCACCAUGGCGACGAUCGGUAGCCGGACUGAGAGGUUGAACGGCCACAUUGGGACUGAGACACGGCCCAGACUCCUACGGGAGGCAGCAGUGGGGAAUAUUGCACAAUGGGGGAAACCCUGAUGCAGCGACGCCGCGUGGAGGAAGAAGGUCCUCGGAUUGUAAACUCCUGUCCCCAGGGGACGAUAAUGACGGUACCCUGGGAGGAAGCACCGGCUAACUACGUGCCAGCAGCCGCGGUAAAACGUAGGGUGCAAGCGUUGUCCGGAAUUACUGGGUGUAAAGGGAGCGCAGGCGGAUUGGCAAGUUGGGAGUGAAAUCUAUGGGCUCAACCCAUAAAUUGCUUUCAAAACUGUCAGUCUUGAGUGGUGUAGAGGUAGGCGGAAUUCCCGGUGUAGCGGUGGAAUGCGUAGAUAUCGGGAGGAACACCAGUGGCGAAGGCGGCCUACUGGGCCCUAACUGACGCUGA